UGGGGGGUGGGGGGGUUCCCUCAGCCCAGAUUGCAAGAGGGUGCAGACCAGGCCAAGGGACUCCACUGGUGCAUG
rnacentral:pre_miRNA from 1 species